rnacentral:rRNA from 1 species
GACGAACGCUGGCGGCGUGCUUAACACAUGCAAGUCGAACGGAAAGGCCCUGCUUGCAGGGUGCUCGAGUGGCGAACGGGUGAGUAACACGUGGGUGAUCUGCCCCUUACUUUGGGAUAAGCCUGGGAAACUGGGUCUAAUACUGGAUAGGACCAUGCUGUAGGUGGUGUGGUGGUAAGAUUAGUUUCGGUAAGGGAUGAGCUCGCGGCCUAUCAGCUUGUUGGUGGGGUAAUGGCCUACCAAGGCGUCGACGGGUAGCCGGCCUGAGAGGGUGGACGGCCACAUUGAGACUGAGAUACGGACCAGCAUCCUACAGGAGUCAGCAGAGGGGAAUAGUGCGCAAUGGGCGCAAGCCUGAUGCAGCGAAGGCGCGUGGGGGAUGACGGCCUUCGGGUUGUAAACACCUUUCAGCCAUGACGAAGCCCUUGUGGUGACGGUAGUGGUAGAAGAAGCACCGGCUAACUACGUG